rnacentral:rRNA from 1 species
UACGAAGGGGGCGAGCGUUGUUCGGAAUUACUGGGCGUAAAGGGCGCGCAGGCGGCCUUUGAAGUCAGGUGUGAAAGCCCCGGGCUCAACCUGGGAGGUGCACUUGAUACUCGAAGGCUUGAGUACGGGAGAGGAGAGUGGAAUUCCCAGUGUAGAGGUGAAAUUCGUAGAUAUUGGGAAGAACACCGGUGGCGAAGGCGGCUCUCUGGACCGUAACUGACGCUGAGGCGCGAAAGCGUGGGGAGCAAACAGG